GAGGAGGUGGCUGAAGUUUAAGCGGUAGAUUGUAAAUCUAUAUAUGAAAAUAUUUUCUCUUCUCA
rnacentral:tRNA from 1 species